rnacentral:sRNA from 1 species
CGCCUAAACCUUAUAGAUUUCCCAUAAGGCAUGGCAGAAAAAACCCGUCAAAGGUAUUAAGCUCGUCGUCAGAGCACCUUUGACGGGUCAUAUCCCGAAAGGGGUAUGGGUGGUCGCAAGGCCAUC